GAUGAAGAACGUAGUGAAAUGCGAUAAGUAGUGUGAAUUGCAGAAUUCAGUGAAUCAUCGAAUCUUUGAACGCACAUUGCGCCCUUUGGUAUUCCAAAGGGCAUGCCUGUUCGAGCGUCAUUUGUACCCUCAAGCUUUGCUUGGUGUUGGGCGUCUUGUCUCUAGCUUUGCUGGAGACUCGCCUUAAAGUAAUUGGCAGCCGGCCUACUGGUUUCGGAGCGCAGCACAAGUCGCACUCUCUAUCAGCAAAGGUCUAGCAUCCAUUAAGCCUUUUUUUCAACUUAUGACCUCGGAUCAGGUAGGGAUACCCGCUGAACUUAAGCAUAUCAAUAAGCGGAGGA
rnacentral:misc_RNA from 1 species